CGACAUUCAACCACAACCUGUGUUCAAUGAGUGAGGUUCCAGAGUCCAGGACUUCUGACAUGGUGAUAAGGAAGUAAGAGACAGCUCAGAUGCAUGGGUCUUACGCAAAGAAAGAAAGAAGAACUGACUGAACUUACACAGAUUUUGAGUCCGCUACCUUGGAAACGUGGGAGGAUGUGGGACAGCAGGAAACAAAACCAGAAAACCGUCCAGGCUUUUCCUUUCACCAAGGACAAUAAAAGCACCAGAAUUUUUCAAGA